rnacentral:rRNA from 1 species
AUUGAACGCUGGCGGAAUGCUUUACACAUGCAAGUCGAACGGCAGCACGGACUUAGGUCUGGUGGCGAGUGGCGAACGGGUGAGUAAUGUAUCGGAACGUGCCAGUCGUGGGGGAUAACGUAGUGAAAAUUACGCUAAUACCGCAUACGAUCUAUGGAUGAAAGCGGGGGAUCGCAAGACCUCGCGCGAUUGGAGCGGCCGAUAUCAGAUUAGGUAGUUGGUGGGGUAAAGGCCCACCAAGCCAACGAUCUGUAGCUGGUCUGAGAGGACGACCAGCCACACUGGAACUGAGACACGGUCCAGACUCCUACGGGAGGCAGCAGUGGGGAAUUUUGGACAAUGGGCGAAAGCCUGAUCCAGCCAUUCCGCGUGCAGGAUGAAGGCCCUCGGGUUGUAAACUGCUUUUGUACAGAACGAAAAGGUUUCUACUAAUACUAGGAGCUCAUGACGGUACUGUAAGAAUAAGCACCGGCUAACUACGUGCCAGCAGCCGCUGUAA